GACGAACGCUGGCGGCGUGCCUAAUACAUGCAAGUCGAGCGCAGGAAACUGACGGAACUCUUCGGAGGGAAGGCAGUGGAAUGAGCGGCGGACGGGUGAGUAACACGUAAGGAACCUGCCUCAAGGAUUGGGAUAACUCCGAGAAAUCGGAGCUAAUACCGGAUAGUUCAACGGACCGCAUGGUCCGCUGAUGAAAGGCGCUUCGGCGUCACCUUGAGAUGGCCUUGCGGUGCAUUAGCUAGUUGGUGGGGUAACGGCCCACCAAGGCGACGAUGAAUAGCCGACCUGAGAGGGUGAUCGGCCACACUGGGACUGAGACACGGCCCAGACUCCUACGGGAGGCAGCAGUAGGGAAUCUUCCACAAUGGACGAAAGUCUGAUGGAGCAACGCCGCGUGAGUGAUGAAGGUUUUCGGAUCGUAAAACUCUGUUGUAAGGGAAGAACACGUACGAGAGGGAAUGCUCGUACCUUGACGGUACCUUACGAGAAAGCCACGGCUAACUACGUGCCAGCAGCCGCAGUAACAC
rnacentral:rRNA from 1 species